UUCAUCUGCAAUCCUUACCACCUCCAGC
rnacentral:sRNA from 1 species